GGCAAGGCGCGAUUCCGCGAAGGAAAAGCGAUUAGAGGAGCGGAGAGAUAUACGAGUUGGGACAAAUACGGAUGAUAUUAUCAUUCUGUGCCGAAGAAUUCGUCAAUUAUAGUAUUUCAAGUAUUUUGGACAAUGGAGAGAUGUCACUGAGUCAGCCAGCUCAUGUACAAGAGCUUCAUGUUUCCGUAGCUGAGACAGCACUCCCCUCAGAUCUUUGGCUAUGUCAUCAGGAAUGCUUUUGUACCUUUCCUGGUACAAGAUAUGUGACAUAUAAAUCCUGCAGCUCUUCCCAUGAUUCUCUGUCAAAA